rnacentral:lncRNA from 1 species
UUCACUAAUCUUCACAUCUCUUUCUCUAAGUUUCUCAAAUCUCUUCUGAAAUUCACUUCACACACUAGACUUAGAACUCCAAAUUGUUCAACCAAUUCAACCUACUACCAUAUGCACGACUCACAUAAAACUUCUUACUCAAGAAUCCGGUACAACAUCCGAUCCACUUAGAUGACAACUUAAUUCGAAAUCAUCAUCUC